UUCAAGUACGAAGAAAUCUUUGGUGGGAAAUGACAGAGCGCACAAGUCCACCUUAGUGCUAUCUGGUCCGCCCUCUUCCACCCCGCCACACAGACCCCAGCCACCUCUGCUAUGGCCUGAUCCGCCCCUCUUCCCCUCGGCGCCUCCACUCCCCCAUCCCGUCCAGCCCAGCUCCGCCGUCGUCUCCACUCCGACACCCCCUCCAGCCCCGCUCCGUCGCCGAGUUUCUUCAUCUCCGCCGCCCCCUCCACCACCGCAUAUGCCCAUCUCCGCCAACAGUGUUUGACGUGCAAGAACUAGACCAAGAAGAGAGAGAAGCGAAAGCCACCCUUCGGGCCAUGGACCCCGCGACGGCGGCCAUGGGCUCCCUCCUUCCCAAGCUGUUCGAGCUCCUCCACGGAGAAUACAAGCUGCAGAAGAGCGUGAAGAAAGAUGUAGAAUUUCUCGAGAGGGAGAUGAGGAGCAUAGACGCCGCCCUCCGCAAAAUGGCCAUGGUGCCGCGUGACCAGCUCGAUGACAACUCCAAGAUCUGGGCCAAUGAUGUCAGGGAGCUGGCAUACGAGAUGGAGGAUGUCGUUGAACACUUCAUGGUGGACGUCCAGGGAUUCGAGCCGGCCGCUAACCCCGACGGUUUCAAAGGGUUCAUGAAGAAGGUGGCUAACUUGUUCACAAAAGGCAAGGCGCGCCACCAGAUCGCCGAUGCAAUCAAAGGCAUCAAGGAUCAGGUCCAGCAGGUGGCGGAUCGACGCGACCGGUACAAGAUUGAUGAUGUUGAGGCAACUCUAGCUGCUUCAACCAUCGUUGACCCUCUAGACCCUCGCUUGAUGGUUCAGUUCAAAGAUCACAGAGAGCUUGUUGGCAUCGAGGGGCCAAGAGACGAGCUAAUCAAGAGGCUGGCAGAUGAAGAUGAUUGUGUGUCCAAGCAGCAGCUCAAGAUCCUCUCGAUCUUCGGAUUUGGAGGACUUGGCAAGACAACUCUUGCCAGAGCAGUUUACGACAAGAUACAAGCAGAAUUCGUAUGUAAGGCUUUUGUUUCGGUCGGUCAGAAGCCUAAUCUGAAGAAUGUUCUCAUAGGUAUUCUCCUCCGAAUUGACAAAGCCUCUUGUCACAAUGUUACACUGUUAGAUGAGGUGCUGCUCAUUGAGAAACUCCGAGAACUGCUUACGAACAAGAGGUACCUCAUCAUCAUUGAUGAUAUAUGGGAUUUGAGUUCAUGGGAUAUAAUCAAAUGUGCUUUUACUAAUAGUAAGUGUGGAAGCAAAGUAAUCACAACUACUCGUAUCUUUGAAGUGGCAAAAGAGGCAGGUGACAUUUACAAGCAAGAACCUCUUUCUCAUGGUAGAUCGAAGGAAUUAUUCUGUAUGAGAUUAUCUAUUGGCAAAAGCAAACGCCCUUAUCAUGAAUCGGUUAAGAUAUCUGAGAAGAUAUUGCAGAAAUGUGGUGGCAUACCGCUAGCUAUCAUUACAAUAGCUAGCUUGUUGGCUAGUAAACCAGUAACAGACUGGCCUGGGGUCUAUGACUCUAUUGGUUUUGGGAACGAAGAUAACAAAGAAGUGGAUACCACAAGAAAGAUAUUGUUAUAUAGCUACUAUGAUCUUCCAUAUUAUCCACGGCUUUGCCUAUUGCACCUAGGUAUAUACCCCGAAGAUUAUGAGAUAAAAAAGGACACUUUAAUUUGGAAGUGGGUGGCUGAAGGAUAUGUCCAUGAGGAACCAGGAAAAGGACUAUUUGAGGUUGGAGAGAGAUACUUCAACAUGCUCAUAGAUAGAAGCAUGAUCCAGGCAGUGGAGAGGCCAUAUUAUAGCAUCAUAUAUGCUUGUCGUGUGCAUGAUUUGGUACUUGAUAUGAUUCAUUUUCUUUCAGAAGACGAAAGUUUUGUUACUGCAUCGAACAGUAACAGGACAUCUCCUCGUACCAAUGCUCGUAGGUUAGCCAUAAAUAAUGAAGUCGUAGAGCAGGAUGGUUCUGUGGCUAACACGAGCAUGCAACAGGUGAGGUUAUAUAGUGCCACCAUGUGUCACUUUACUAUGUUGCCAUUGCUUUCAAACUUUAAAGCUCUCCGUGUGUUGGCUUUAGAAGAGUGCACUUUCAUGGGAAGUGAGCGCUCUGUGAAGCUGGAAGAUUCUCCUUAUCAUCUUAAUUAUCUUGGGAGGCUGAUUCACCUGAGGUACCUUGGGUUCUCGGACCGGCUGGUUGGGUUCUCCCUGCCUGGGAUCUCCAUGCCGCUUAUUUUAAAGGUCCCUGAAGAAAUAGGGGAUCUAAGGUUUUUGCAGGUACUGGACUUGGGCAGAACUGGCAUUAAAAAACUGCCUCAAAGUGUUGGCCGGCUAACACAACUGAAGUGCCUGCGCUUUGGCGGUUCCAGUAUGGAGGUGUUGGACUGCACGAAUUUAACAUCCCUGGAAGAGCUACAAUUGCACCUUGUCUCUCCAGAUUUUCUCAAAGGGCUUGUCAAGCUGAAGGAGUUGAGAAAGUUUAGCCUACACUUUGAAGAGGAGCACGAGAAUAUGUUGUUCAAAGAUUUGAUGGGACAUGUUGCCAAUCUGCAAAAACUUCAAGUCAUAAUGGUUAAUUGUAGGUAUUCAACUCAAAAAGAAAAAAAUUGUAGGUAUCAACCGCGUCCUAAGCCAUGGUCCGAUUACGCUGGCUCUGUGGCCCUUGGGCACCUCCGUCAUCUGACAGUGAAUGGCCUGCUUCCUGGGCUGCCAGUGUGGAUUAACUCCUCAUGCCUCCCGAACCUCUGCCACUUGCAUAUGGAACUGACGGCUAUGAAAUCGCAGGAUAUGGAGAUCCUUGGGAGGUUCUCAGAGCUCAUUACUCUGACCGUUCUUCUCUAUGAUUACAUGGUUUUUCCUAACGCCAUGGAGGAGGGUGCAUUUCCCAAGUUGAGAUACUUGGAACUGAAGAAUUCUAACCAGCCCAGAUUUGUACAGGGAGCAAUGUCCAGCCUUGAGUGUUUUAGGAUAAUAAUCGGCCUAGAAGGGACCAAUGGCUGGGACUUCCAUAGCCUGGUGAACCUCCCUCGUCUUGAGAAAGUUGAUGCUGAAAUCCUAGGCUACACUGGCAGGGGUAUCGACGGAGACGAGUUGCAGGCACAUGAGUCGUUGAAGCAGGCACAUGCGUCGUUGAAGCAUGCAGUUGAGAUCCAUCCCAACCAUCCCACACUCAAGUUGCAGAUUUAUCAUAGUUGACCCGAUUUCCCAGCCGUCUUGCACUCAAUGUACCUGUUACGUGUAAGCUUCAUUUUACAGAAGUAGGCCUUCAUGCAGAUAUUAAUGGAGAUGGAGUUUUAGAUCAUGUUCAGGUUGUCGGUGCAAAUGGUGCUGAGCAAACUGUUGUUACCGGGUCCAUGGAAGUGCUCAACCCUGUUGGGCAGUUGCCACAUCUGGUAUACCGGUGCAGGAGCAACUUUUUAAUGUUCCUAUUUGCCACUACAAUCAUCUCAAUCUGUUCCAUCAUGGUGACUUUUCAAGAAGUUCUGGGAGGACAUUUGAUCCAUCUAGCUUAGAGGUGGCGGCACCAAUUCUGCUGGAGAGAGACGAUAGUCAUGUACACAGAAGAGGAAGUCAUGGCGAUAUCAUCUUUCUAGCAAGUCGGUGAGCUCAUACUCUCCAGGCUUAAUUGGUCACGAUAUGACAUGGAGGUGGCAAAACUAUCGACAGGCGCGGCAUGGACAAACCUUCCAUCCCCAUCAGGGAUGACGGAGAACACCGUGAUCCCCACUCUCAAGGCCUUCUCCUUGCGAGCCUAUGACCCAAAGCAGGUGAUCAUUGCUGGCGGCGAUCAGGAGGUUGUGGUGAUCUCUCCUUCUGGUGGCCUACUGGCGUCGAUCGACCUCCCCGCGCCGCCGACUUACGCACUAAUCCUUGAGGAUUUCUCCGGGGAUGGGCUGACUGAUUUCAUGCUGGUGACAUCCGGGGGAGUGUAUGGAUUUGUGCAGACGAGGCAGCCUGGGGCGCUCUUCUUCGGCACGCUCGUCGGCUGCUUGAUCGUCGCGAUCAGGGCGAUUCUUGUUUCUCUACACCUCAACUCGUCGAACAACGGUAAACCAAGGUCUUCUUCGACCGACUACAGGUGACUGCGACAGCGGUAUUCUGCUGAGAGGAUCUUGUGAACAUCCCCGGCACGCAGUGAGGAGAUGUUAUAGUGUUGAAGCAAGACUUCUAUUAAUUAUAGCUGGCUGGAGGUGUUUAGCUUGUGUCUUGUAAGUAUUUGGGUUGGUGAACUUUCGUUGUUCUUCAAUAUAAUCCUUCGCUAGCAUAAGUGUA